rnacentral:rRNA from 1 species
GAUGAACGCUGGCGGCGUGCCUAAUACAUGCAAGUCGAGCGAACGGACGAGAAGCUUGCUUCUCUGAUGUUAGCGGCGGACGGGUGAGUAACACGUGGAUAACCUACCUAUAAGACUGGGAUAACUUCGGGAAACCGGAGCUAAUACCGGAUAAUAUUUUGAACCGCAUGGUUCAAAAGUGAAAGACGGUCUUGCUGUCACUUAUAGAUGGAUCCGCGCUGCAUUAGCUAGUUGGUAAGGUAACGGCUUACCAAGGCAACGAUGCAUAGCCGACCUGAGAGGGUGAUCGGCCACACUGGAACUGAGACACGGUCCAGACUCCUACGGGAGGCAGCAGUAGGGAAUCUUCCGCAAUGGGCGAAAGCCUGACGGAGCAACGCCGCGUGAGUGAUGAAGGUCUUCGGAUCGUAAAACUCUGUUAUUAGGGAAGAACAUAUGUGUAAGUAACUGUGCACAUCUUGACGGUACCUAAUCAGAAAGCCACGGCUAACUACGUGCCAGCAGCCGCGGUAAUACGUAGGUGGCAAGCGUUAUCCGGAAUUAUUGGGCGUAAAGCGCGCGUAGGCGGUUUUUUAAGUCUGAUGUGAAAGCCCACGGCUCAACCGUGGAGGGUCAUUGGAAACUGGGAAACUUGAGUGCAGAAGAGGAAAGUGGAAUUCCAUGUGUAGCGGUGAAAUGCGCAGAGAUAUGGAGGAACACCAGUGGCGAAGGCGACUUUCUGGUCUGUAACUGACGCUGAUGUGCGAAAGCGUGGGGAUCAAACAGGAUUAGAUACCCUGGUAGUCCACGCCGUAAACGAUGAGUGCUAAGUGUUAGGGGGUUUCCGCCCCUUAGUGCUGCAGCUAACGCAUUAAGCACUCCGCCUGGGGAGUACGACCGCAAGGUUGAAACUCAAAGGAAUUGACGGGGACCCGCACAAGCGGUGGAGCAUGUGGUUUAAUUCGAAGCAACGCGAAGAACCUUACCAAAUCUUGACAUCCUUUGACAACUCUAGAGAUAGAGCUUUCCCCUUCGGGGGACAAAGUGACAGGUGGUGCAUGGUUGUCGUCAGCUCGUGUCGUGAGAUGUUGGGUUAAGUCCCGCAACGAGCGCAACCCUUAAGCUUAGUUGCCAUCAUUAAGUUGGGCACUCUAAGUUGACUGCCGGUGACAAACCGGAGGAAGGUGGGGAUGACGUCAAAUCAUCAUGCCCCUUAUGAUUUGGGCUACACACGUGCUACAAUGGACAAUACAGAGGGCAGCGAAACCGCGAGGUCAAGCAAAUCCCAUAAAGUUGUUCUCAGUUCGGAUUGUAGUCUGCAACUCGACUACAUGAAGCUGGAAUCGCUAGUAAUCGUAGAUCAGCAUGCUACGGUGAAUACGUUCCCGGGUCU